GCUUACCUGCAGUCGAACGGUGAAGCCCAGCUUGCUGGGUGGAUCAGUGGCGAACGGGUGAGUAACACGUGAGCAACCUGCCCUCCACUUCGGGAUAAGCCUUGGAAACGAGGUCUAAUACCGGAUAUGAGCACAUGGCGCAUGUCGUGUGUUGGAAAGUUUUUCGGUGGGGGAUGGGCUCGCGGCCUAUCAGCUUGUUGGUGGGGUGAUGGCCUACCAAGGCGUCGACGGGUAGCCGGCCUGAGAGGGCGACCGGCCACACUGGGACUGAGACACGGCCCAGACUCCUACGGGAGGCAGCAGUGGGGAAUAUUGCACAAUGGGCGAAAGCCUGAUGCAGCGACGCCGCGUGAGGGAUGACGGCCUUCGGGUUGUAAACCUCUUUCAGCAGGGAAGAAGGCCUUCGGGUGGACGGUACCUGCAGAAGAAGCGCCGGCUAACUACGUGCCAGCAGCCGCGGUAAUACGUAGGGCGCAAGCGUUGUCCGGAAUUAUUGGGCGUAAAGAGCUCGUAGGCGGUCUGUCGCGUCUGGUGUGAAAACCCGAGGCUCAACCUCGGGCUUGCAUCGGGUACGGGCAGACUAGAGUGCGGUAGGGGAGACUGGAAUUCCUGGUGUAGCGGUGGAAUGCGCAGAUAUCAGGAGGAACACCGAUGGCGAAGGCAGGUCUCUGGGCCGCAACUGACGCUGAGGAGCGAAAGCAUGGGGAGCGAACAGGAUUAGAUACCCUGGUAGUCCAUGCCGUAAACGUUGGGCACUAGGUGUGGGGCUCAUUCCACGAGUUCCGUGCCGCAGCUAACGCAUUAAGUGCCCCGCCUGGGGAGUACGGCCGCAAGGCUAAAACUCAAAGGAAUUGACGGGGGCCCGCACAAGCGGCGGAGCAUGCGGAUUAAUUCGAUGCAACGCGAAGAACCUUACCAAGGCUUGACAUGCACCGGACGCUGCCAGAGAUGG
rnacentral:rRNA from 1 species